rnacentral:rRNA from 1 species
AUUGAACGCUGGCGGCAUGCUUUACACAUGCAAGUCGAACGGUAACAGGGAGCUUGCUCCGCUGACGAGUGGCGAACGGGUGAGUAAUGCAUCGUAACGUACCCAGUCGUGGGGGGAUAACGUAGCGAAAGUUACGCUAAUACCGCAUACGUCCUGAGGGAGAAAGCGGGGGACCGUAAGGCCUCGCGCGAUUGGAGCGGCCGAUGUCGGAUUAGCUAGUUGGUAGGGUAAAGGCCUACCAAGGCGACGAUCCGUAGCGGGUCUGAGAGGAUGAUCCGCCACACUGGGACUGAGACACGGCCCAGACUCCUACGGGAGGCAGCAGUGGGGAAUUUUGGACAAUGGGCGAAAGCCUGAUCCAGCCAUGCCGCGUGAGUGAAGAAGGCCUCGGUUGUAAGCUCUUCAGGUGGAAGAAAACGGACAUAGGUUAAUACC